rnacentral:rRNA from 1 species
UGAUGGAUGGACCCGCGGUGCAUUAGCUAGUUGGUGAGGUAACGGCUCACCAAGGCCACGAUGCAUAGCCGACCUGAGAGGGUGAUCGGCCACAUUGGGACUGAGACACGGCCCAAACUCCUACGGGAGGCAGCAGUAGGGAAUCUUCGGCAAUGGACGAAAGUCUGACCGAGCAACGCCGCGUGAGUGAAGAAGGUUUUCGGAUCGUAAAACUCUGUUGUUAGAGAAGAACAAGGGUGAGAGUAACUGUUCACCCCUUGACGGUAUCUAACCAGAAAGCCACGGCUAACUACGUGCCAGCAGCCGCGGUAAUACGUAGGUGGCAAGCGUUGUCCGGAUUUAUUGGGCGUAAAGCGAGCGCAGGCGGUUUCUUAAGUCUGAUGUGAAAGCCCCCGGCUCAACCGGGAGGGUCAUUGGAAACUGGGAGACUUGAGUGCAGAAGAGGAGAGUGGAAUUCCAUGUGUAGCGGUGAAAUGCGUAGAUAUAUGGAGGAACACCAGUGGCGAAGGCGGCUCUCUGGUCUGUAACUGACGCUGAGGCUCGAAAGCGUGGGGAGCAAACAGGAUUAGAUACCCUGGUAGUCCACGCCGUAAACGAUGAGUGCUAAGUGUUGGAGGGUUUCCGCCCUUCAGUGCUGCAGCUAACGCAUUAAGCACUCCGCCUGGGGAGUGCGACCGCAAGGUUGAACUCAAGGAAUUGACGGGGGCCCGCACAAGCGGUGGGGGCAUGUGGUUUAAUUCGAAGCAACGCGAAGACCUUACCAGGUCUUGACAUCCUUUGACCCCUCUAGAGAUAGAGCUUCCCCUUC